rnacentral:rRNA from 1 species
GUAGCAUAAUCAUUAGUCUCCUAAUUAGAGGCUUGUAUGAAUGGUCUGACAAGAUGGGAACUGUCUCAAUACAAAAUAUGAAAGUUAAUGUUUAAGUAAAAAAGCUUAAAUAGUAUAGAGGGACGAUAAGACCCUAUAAAGCUUUAUAAUAUAUUUCUUUUAUUUAAAUUAUAGUUUUUAACUCAUUAAAGAAAAUAUAUUAUUUUACUGGGGCGGUAAAAGUAUAUUUUUGAUUAACUGCUUUUGUUCUAACAAACAAUUAUAAUUGAAUAUCCAUUGAUCCAUUAUUAAUGAGCAUAAGACCAAGUUACUUUAGGGAUAACAGCGUAAUUUUUUUUGAGAGUUCUUAUCGAAAAAAAAGUUUGCGACCUCGAUGUUGAAUUAAGGAAGCCUUAAGGUGCAGCAGUUUUAGUAGGCAGAUCUGUUCGAUCUUUAAAUCUUUACAUGAU